rnacentral:piRNA from 1 species
UGCAACAAUUGUGCGUUUAAA